GUGUGAGAAAUGGAGACAGAGGGAUUGGAGAGAUGAAGAUGGGGGAUCCGUGGUCUCUGAAGCCCCCAAUGCUUGUGUGAGGGUGAGAGCUCAACAGGAAGACCAUCAUAUUGGACUAGAACCUACCCUAAUAAUCCCAAUGAAACUUAAUGACUUCUUUGAAGGCCCUAUCUCCAUAUAAAGUCAUAUUCUAAGGUUCAGAAAUCCUAAGGAACCCAAGCAAGAUUUUUUACAAAGAAAGAAGUGUUCACCCAGAUACAGCCUAAUGAUACUUCAAAGAGACAGAUUGCUUACAAAGGAAUGACAAUGAAAUUGACUUCUUGAUAGCAUCCAUAGAAACUAUAGGUUUGCUUUUUCCAGUGAAGCUUUCUACCAGAAAAAAGGCAAAGAAGAUGGUUUUUCUGAUAAAGUCCCAUGAGAAUGCUCUGAUGACACUGGAAAAGCUUUCUUUCAUUCAUCCACCCACUGGUGACUUGGAAAAUAGCCUCUUCACCUUCAAAUGAGAGAAUAAUGCUGAAUUUUUCUGAAUUUCUAAGACGGGAAGUGAUGUAUCACUAAAACGGUGAGCUCUCACUGAAACAGGAAAUCUUCUACCAGUGUGGGUCUGAGUUGAUCUCUCCCUCCCUCCCUCCAACCAUCCAAUAAAUAUUUCAUUU
rnacentral:lncRNA from 1 species